ACUGAACGCUGGCGGCAUGCCUUACACAUGCAAGUCGAACGGUAACAGGUCUUCGGAUGCUGACGAGUGGCGAACGGGUGAGUAAUACAUCGGAACGUGCCUAGUAGUGGGGGAUAACUACUCGAAAGAGUGGCUAAUACCGCAUGAGAUCUACGGAUGAAAGCAGGGGAUCGCAAGACCUUGUGCUACUAGAGCGGCCGAUGGCAGAUUAGGUAGUUGGUGGGAUAAAAGCUUACCAAGCCGACGAUCUGUAGCUGGUCUGAGAGGACGAUCAGCCACACUGGGACUGAGACACGGCCCAGACUCCUACGGGAGGCAGCAGUGGGGAAUUUUGGACAAUGGGCGCAAGCCUGAUCCAGCAAUGCCGCGUGCAGGAUGAAGGCCUUCGGGUUGUAAACUGCUUUUGUACGGAACGAAAAGACUCCUUCUAAUAAAGGGGGUCCAUGACGGUACCGUAAGAAUAAGCACCGGCUAACUACGUGCCAGCCGCCGCGGUAAAAC
rnacentral:rRNA from 1 species